GAGGUUUGUUUUGUUCAUGUGUGGAGAGGUGGUUGCAGUCAGUGAUGAUUUUACAACACGCUGUCUCCUGCUGUUUAAAGGAUUUAGGCUGGGAUGAAAUGUUUUCUAAUAAUUUGUGAGUUUUGUGUUUGUUUAUUACCUGCACGGAGUUCCGUGAAAAGGAAAGCAUCCCUUUUCUGUGUUGAAUUUCACACACAGAGCGGAGCGCGUCAGUCGCAGCUACAGAGAAGUCGAGCUUUUCAAUGAGAUGAUUUACUGAGAAACAAACGCGUUGAAGCUCCAGCAGAGCUCUGCGCGAUUCUGAAAGACCAAAGUAAAGUUACUCCUUGCAAAGCAUGUUGUUUGUGUUCUUUCUUUAUCACACCAGAAGAAGUGAUGAAUAUAUUUGAAUGGGAAGGCUACAGUAAAAAAUAAAUAUUACUAAAUACAAACCGCAGGCGGUGUUUCUGAUUGAAAAGAGGAUUCCGCUAGACCAGUGUGAAACUCAAACCAGUGAAGAUGGACGCGUCAGCGUGUCCGUGUCGCUCUUUCAAGACGAGCUCGCCUCUACCAUCGAGCACGCAGUGAAAGCGGCUCUACACACCGUCUUGUGCGCGAUUACUAAAGCUGUCGUCAGCAAAUUCACUGAAUUCAGAGUGGAAAUGUAACAAAAAGGAGAAAGAGAAUGAAAGUCUGAAGCUGAGAUUGGAAAUAUCAGAGAACGAGCUGAAAGCUGUGCGAGCGUGUAUAAACGCUGCAGAUGCAGACAUUAAACAGCCUUUAAUAUUUCAAGAUCCCAAAGAGAGCCACGCUAUCCCUGAAUCUGAAGCACAGGAAGGGCCAAAGAUAGAAGCAGGAGUGGUGUGCAAGUCUAAUGCAGGUUACAAAGCUGGCAUGUGUUAAAGAUGAAGAGGUCCCUCAACAGGAAUGUGUUCCUAUUAAAGAGGAAUUCAUAGAGCAGGAAUGUGUCCCCAUCGCAGAGGAACUUCCUCAUGAAAAUCAUGUCUGUACACUUGAGGAGAACAAGAAGCUGGGAUCCAACCUGUGUGGUGACUCUCCAUCUGAAUGUGAACUGGGAUUUAGAGGUAAUCCUACAAAACAAGCAGCAUUGAGCUGCCUGUUCAUCCUGCAGAACCUGGUACUGAACACCAGCAGUGUGCUUGAGAUUCAUAUUUUAACCAAGGGGAGCUGCCCAACCACUAUGUCAACAAGGACAUCACUGUGCUUGCUCCUGAGGCACCUGCUAGAUGUGCUGCCGCUGCCACGUCUCUUGAGAAUGCUGUGAGAUCAGCGGUGUCCAAUCACGCUCCUGGAGGCCAUUCCGCUGGAGGCAGAGGAUUCAGGCGACAGUGAUGCUGAGCUGGACAGUGAUGGACUCAAAGGAGAGCGGGAGUUGGGUGAGUCCUUUGAAAAGCACGUCUGGGUAGUGUGUGGGUACAACGUUAAACCUUCAAGAGGAACACAUUGUGAAUUACAGAUGAUAGACUUAAGGCCAAACCCCAGUGAAUCUGAGCACAUUUAGCUGCUGUUUCUCUACUGGCACUAACACAAAGUGCCCAGAUCUGUUUCCUAAUGUACUUCUAACUGUAUAAACCUAUUUCUGUUUUACCUGAUAGGAGACAAUAUGAUGGAGAAAAGAGCUGACAGUGAGUACAGAUGGCCUAUAGCUUCUUCUGUUGAGUGUGUUUCUGCCUGCCUGUCUGUCUGUCUGUCUGUCUGUCUGCCCGUCUGUCUGUUACACUGAAGCAGAAGAGGAAAACACAAAGCUUGAGGGAUAUACACUUUGAAAAUAUUUCACCUGUUUGCAUUUAACAUGUGCAUUUAAAUGUGUUGAUGCAGCACCUUUAAUAAGACGUAUUGUAUUAAUUGAUCACCUUAAAUGUCAGUAAGAAGGAUCACCCAACUGAGAUAUAAUAACUUGACUAAAAGGUUGUCCUGUUCCCUUACCUUUUUAUCAAUCAAUGUUUAUUUUAUAUAGCGCCUUUCAUAGUUGACCACAGUUGUUUUGUGCGAUUGUUCUGUGUGAUUCUUUUCAUAUGUAAUGCAGACUGAAAUAUCUUUCUGUUAGUAAGUGCCAUCACCAUCUAGUGCAUAGCAGUGAAUUGAAAGCAGAAGGAAGCGUGAUCCAGUCACUGGCUCUUCUAUAAAGACACUUUGACUGAUCCAGCCUACAUUAUGUACAUAUAUCUAAGACAGGCAACUAGAACUGAAGAGCAGCUCCUGAACUCAGGUGAAAACAUUGUAACACACACUCUAACAAAAUAAAAUCUGAAGCUCCUUACUGUUCAGCAAUAUUCUUUAAUGUACAUUGAAAUCCUAAUCCAAAUUUGGAGAGUUCCUCAACAUGGUCUGUGUUUAAAUAGAAGGGAUGCAACCUACUGUUUGUUUAAUGAUCUUCACAUGCUUUCUGUCUCCUGAAGUGGAUUCUGAAGUGGUCCUGACACAGUCCAUGGUAGUGAAGAAGGAUGCCCUGUCCAAAAGAUACUACAGAAGUAAGUGUGUGUCUCUCUGGAGCUGGCUCCUGGUUUGGGUGAACUGCAUGGAUUGUAGACUGAAGGUCAAUUGAUUGAAGACAUUCCAGUAAAUGGAACUCAAACAUGAAUAUAAAGUGAACUAUUAAAUCCAAUAACCACUGUUUCUGUUUUUCUUUUUCUUUGGAACAGCUUACUGUUGUAAGUAUUUUAUUUUAUUA